GGAAGCUCCCAGGCUGGGGGCUCAGGACCUCGUCCAGAGGAAGCAGGGACUCUUUCCACAGAGCUUUGCCUCCAGCAGCCCGGCCGUUCCAGUCAACUCACCCCCGACAGUGUCACGGAGCACCUGCCUGCCACCUGGGCCGUCCAGGUGCCACCUGGUCACCCUGCCUGUAGGCAGAGGGAACCAGCGAGGCUCAGGACGUGCGAUCCACAGAGCAAGGGACAGCUCUGUCCCUGGCACUGCCCCCUGAUCCCCCGGUCACGGCCCCUCCGGUCUCUGGGUGGGAAAAACGCGCGUGAGCUCUGUCCCCAGCCGUGGUGGGCUUCUGCCCCCUGCCCUAAUCCUCCCGCCAGCGUUCGAGGGAGCCUCGUGCAGCCCUGCGACCCGGCCUUUGCUGCGCCGCGGGCCCUGCAGGACCAGCUCCAGCGCGGCGGCUCGUGCGGAGGGAGCGUGCGGAGGAGGCCGGGCCCCUCCGGGAGCCUGCGGUGCUAAUGAACGGCUGGGAACAUCCCAAGCCUGGGGGUUCCUGUCCCCACACCGGCAGAUCAGAAACACGCCUAAAAGCCCGGUUUGAUCCAUUUCCAGGACGCCAGCCCCGAGCGAAGCAGAGGAGAGGUUGAAAGGCGGCAGCACGACUGAUCUGCUCGUGUUUAUUUUCACACGCUCUGUGGUUUGGGGACAGGCUUUGACGAGCUGUCACUCCUCUGUCCUUGUCUUCUCCCGGUCUCUUCCUUUGUCGUUGUCCGACUCCCCGGGAGGUUAAUUCCGGAAUCUCAGGACAAUGCCCCCAGCAGAGAUGUCCUUUGUGUCAACGUCCACCCGUGAACCCAGAGAGCUGACCCCCGUGUGGCCCGACUGGCAGCCCCCAGGAGGCCCUGGGACAGGAGCCAGGACUCCACUAGGCGUGGAGGGGCCGUUGGCCUGGUCAGUGGUCACUGAUGGCGCUUGCAGGGCCCUGGGCCGGAUGUGGCGACGGUAGCACAGCGGUGGCGCCCCCACUGCCCCCAGGAGCUCACACCAGGCUGGCGGGAGGCCACUGGGGUCCAGCCUCUGAGGCUCCCCGAGACCCACACCCCAGGGUAUCUGAGGGCUCCAGCUGCCCUUGUGCCCCCCAGGAGGGGCGCCUGGGGCACUCGUAACCUCCUGGACCCCGUUGCCCUCCUUCUCGCGCAGGUGCCCACUGUCCCCAGGACUCCGUGAAAUCAAACAAACAAGCCAGCUUCUCCCGGGUCCCAAGCCUCUCCCAUCCUUGUUAAUAUUCCUUUCCUUCUGCUACGUCUGUUUCAAAAAAGGAGAAACCAAACAACACCAAUAGGCCUGUGAGCCCAGAAGCCUCCCGGGGUGGGGGUGGGGGCGGUGGAGGGAGACCCCCGAGCGGCAGCCUGAACCUCCUUAGAAGACGGGAGGGGGGCAGCCACUGCCAGGGGGAGGGGCCAAGGUGUGGGGACACUCAGCCUGGGGAGGGGGGCCCAUCCAGGCCUCGCCAUCUGUUGAAGGAGGAAGGGGGAGAAGCCAGCCCAGCCCCGGUCUCUGUAGAAGAGCCCCCCCCGCCGCCCCAAGAUCUAGGCACACUGCGUCCAUGCUUGGAGCAGACUGGCCACACGUUGCUGGGUCCUGCCUUCAGGGGCCACCCUGAGCCCGCCCAGCCCGGGAGGCCCCAGCCCCAGGUGUCCCCCUGGCCCCCCGGCCCUCAAGGCUGGGCCCCGAGCCUGGCCUCACCACCUGUGGCUCCAUGCUCCCCGCGACGCCCGCCCCGCAGCGCCCUCGCCUCCAGAUGGCCUCUGGAUCUCUUCUCCGUGAAAGCGUCCAUCCAGCCUGUGUGGCUGCCACUGCAGCCUGCCACCAUCUCAUGCCAGCUCCCGAAUGUCACCCAUCGCUCAGAUGAGGGAGCUGGGCCAUUUGCUGAGACGUGCAGAGCUGUGGACAGAGCUGGGUCCAAGUUCUGGUCUUCGCGGCCCAAAGCUGCAGCCGUCACCUGGAUGGGGUCCUGCCCCAAAGGUGCUGUCACAGGGACCCCCUGGCAUCCUGCCCUCGAGCCCCAGAGACACUUCUCAUUUCAGCUCAGCCAGAAGACUGAGCUCCCCACCAGCAAAGCCGCCGGCUCUCGGGGCAGCAGGUGGCCAGUCUGGGGUCAGACUCUGUUCAAAGCUCCAGGCAAACCUCCAUCCAUCACUGGCCACACCCGCCUGGGGGAUGCACGGAGCCUGUGUGCCUGCCGUCAGCCAGCUCCAGGGUUCUCAGCCAGACGGAGUGCAGCAGGGCCCAGAUCAGCAUCUUGAGCCAAAAGAACCUGGAAUCGAGGAGAAAGUGGUUUUCUUAAAGAGCCCAUAAGGCUCUGGAACCCGAAGAGCUUUUCCCUGGAGUUUCGGCCUAGGAGAAAGGACGAGAAGCGCUGGCUGGAUUCCACCAACUCAGCCACCACCAAGGGCAAAGCCCCUUCCCUGAGAAGAAAACCCUGCAGGGCUGAGUGUCAGCAGGACGAGCCACCAAGGAUGGAGAGGUCUUCCUGCCCCCACCCGUCCUGACCAGGGUGUGAGCGGUGCUACCUGGCGGCAGCGAGGCCCACCUUCCCUGGAGCAUCCAAACCCCGGGACACAGAGGGGCCGCCUUCUUGAUGGCGGUGGAAGAGAGCCCAGGUCUGUCGAGCUUCCAGGUAAACCGGCCUGGAAAGACAUCACACUGCAGGCGCGCAAAGUACACGCUUCCUGCGGGCGUUAAACGGGCACCUCCCAUGGGCGCAUGGCCUCUCCUUGGCACGGGGCAUGACUGCCCUGCCAUGGCAGGAGAGCGGCACCAUUGAGCAGCUGGUCCACGGUCACACGACAGGAAGGGAAGGGCCCCCCGGAGCCAAGGCCCUUUAAUUCUGGGAUCUGCGCCUUUCUUUACGCUGAUGGAACUUUGAAAGGAAUGACUCUGAACAUCUCUGGGGCCAUGAAAUAAAGGGGGGGGGUCCGGUGAACCCCAGAAAAGCAGAACAAAGCAGAGGACCCUGAGGACUUAAGGUGGAGUCAGAGGCGUGGCCAUGGUGGGGAGGCUCUUUCACGUGCCUUAUGUCCAGCAAGACGUGUCAGUUCUCCAAGCAGCCAAGCCCCUGUGAGGUUCAAGCCUGGAAGCAGGGUGGGGCAGCAGGGAGUGGCUUCCAGCAAAGGGGGGGGGUCUUGGGGCGGGGGGCUCGUGCAGGACGCCAGCCCGCGCUCCCCUUCCGGAGCCCACGUUACUGUGGGUGGGGGAGGUUGCUCGGGGCGGGGGCAGCUUUAUAUUUAGGCAGGGUAGGUGGCCGCCUACACUGUGAUGUCACAGGCUCUGGGGGCCUCUUCCAAACCCCAAAAUACCUUCUCCACCUGCUUCCUGGCGCCGGCACGCUCUCUGAGUUAGAAAGGAAGCUGGCUGGCUCCUUCGUGGCAGAGCUGACAGGGGUUCAAGCCAGCCCUCCAUCGAGGAGCAGGUGUGCACAGAUCCUCAGGCUGGAAAGGCACCCAGGCCUGGGCCAGGACGGCCUUGCAGCAUCCCCUGUGCUGCCUCUGCACCUCCUGGAGAACCCCUGGGUGCUAAAGGCGGUUGUGUCUUCACGUACCCCAAGCCCUGCCCAGAGCCGGGCUCUCGGCCAAAUGCCUGGGAUGUCACAGGCAAGUUGCACCUGUCUCUGUCCAGAAGAAGCAGCAGAUGAAGUGAGAGUCUCACACGUAAGCCACUGUGCAUUGUGACAUGUCCAGAGAGAGAAAUGUACCAUGGGUCACAAGGUACACAGCAGAGUGCCCCGAUUUUGUUUGGUUAGUUGGAGAAGGGCAUAUUAGCUGAGGUUUUGUGGGUAAAUAGGAGUUUUCUAGGUAGCAAGUGGGGACGAAGUCUCCAUGCGGAGGGAUGGCUGGAGAGAGGAAGGAUCCGGCCUGUUAAAGGACCUCACUUUAGGGGUCAGGGGUCCAGAGAGGGAAGGGAAAGUCGGAGAGAGGAAGCCGAGAGGCGGACAGGCGGCAGCUUCUUGCUGAAGUCCGUGCACUCACAGCAGCAUCUCACUGAUGCCUGGGGCACUGUUAGGCACGCAGCUCGGGCUCCCCCUGCCCAGGCUCACAUCGCCAGGGGACGAUGAGGUGAGUCGUGUGCAUAUUAGCGUUUGGGAUGUCCUGCCCCAUGGUUGGAUGGAGGACGCGGCUUUGCCCCAGCUCGUGGGCCAGUGUGCUGAGCAGUCAUGUGCUCGAGAUUUAGAAAGUGGGUUUUUUUUUCUUUCCUUCUGAAAAUAAAUAGCUUCAGAUCAUCAGGAAAAAAAAUGUUCAAGGCAGCAUAAAAAUUCAUUCAUUCAGACCCAAUUAUUUGAGAAUCUAGAAAAGAAAGGUUCUGAGCACCUGUUUGAUGAAUAAAUUUGCAAUGUAAAAAAUCGGUGGUUUUUGUUUUCUUGCAACACCCAAACCGGCUGCUGAGCCCACUGUGGAUGUUUCGGUGUAGGAUGCUGUGGUUACCCCAGCAGACGUGUGCUCAUCACAGAGCCCUGGAAAGCAUCUUCGGGGGACCCACGUGGUCAUUCAAGGUGUGAUCAGAUCAGGUGGUGGGGAGGCGGGGCUGGGGCUCAGAGCGGACCCGGGCCUGGGGUCCUCAGGCUGUGCUGUCCUCCUGCGGUGGCCUCUGCCUCGGGGGCUGGGAAAGUAAGCGUGGUCCUGAUGCUUGCUGGAGACGGCAAGGGGCGGACUCAGUCCUGUGGCAAAGAGGCCGUGCUAUUGCCGUCCCUGGGAGGCGGGACUCAACUGCCGGGCAAGCAGGGAGCGUGGGGUGAGGCGCCCCCACGAAGCAGCUCAGCAGGACCUCUGAGGAAACGGGGCUUUGCACGUCCAGGGCUGGCAGCUGCCAAGGCUGGGGCCCCGUUGAGAGCAGGGGUCAGAGGAGCCUGAUCGAGGUGCUGCGCCGGUGUGCCCCAGGCGCGGGGGCAGAGGUGGAGCAAGUCGUGGCCCUGGGGACGGCCAACCGUGCUGUCCUUCCACGAGCGGUCAGCACACACACUGUUUGGACACAUUCAGGUAAAAACACCUGUAGCAGGAAGAACCUUCUCUCUGCCACUUGCUCCCAGUAAGCCACCGAUGCCCCGGUGCCCUUUGACCUGUGUCCCCUUCCAGCCCCAGUUUCUGUGCCUUUACGGAGGCUGUCUGUCACCUGCACCGUCAUCAGAUGUCCCGUGUACACAAAUGGGACUGCGCUCGGUGCGCCCUGCGGCUGGUCGGCGUGUCUGUCUUGGUAAUUAGCCUUGGUAAUUAGUCCUGUCCCUGGGCAGGAGGAGCUGUUGUCAUUGUGCAUCCGUCCCCGUCUCGAUGGACACGUGGGCCAUGCAGACCUGCCCUCUGGCAAACAAUGCUGCAGGUAACACCCUUGAACCCCGAGUGGGGUAGACAGGCCAACGCCCCUCCCCUCCCAAAGAUGCGCUCGCCCGAACCCCCGGAAUAGCUUACAUGGCAAAAGCACCAGGCAGACGUGACGAAGUUAAGGAUACUGAGACGCAGAGAUUAUCCUGGAUUAUCCACUGGGUCCCACGUAAUGACAGAAGUCCUUACAAGGGUCCCACCAACACCGUGAUUUUAGACUUCCGACCUCACAGCUGUGAGAGAAUUAAUUUGUUCUUUUUCAAGCUACUCAGUUUGUGGAAAUUUGUUAUUUCAGCAGUAGGAAAUUAGGGCAUCCUGGAAUUCCUGUCAUGGCUCAGUGGAAACGGAUCUGACUAGCAACCAUAGGGAUGCAGGUUCAAUCCCUGGCCUCACUCAGGGGCUUAAGGAUCCGGUGUUGCCGUGAGAAUGUGGUGUAAGUUGCAGCCGCAGCUUGGAUC
rnacentral:lncRNA from 1 species